rnacentral:lncRNA from 13 species
CAGCUGAGGACAAUGAGAAUCAGGAAGAUCCAGGAAAGAGUCAGAGCAAUAAGGAAGCAAAAGAAGUCAUGAGGCAACAUUUGACUAUAACAAGCAAAUAAAGCACUGCUGAACAGCCAUCAGGAAAACACCUUGGUGAAGAGUUGCAAUGGAGGAAGGACAGGAGGUUGCUGGGAGCAGCAGGGGAGUCCUGUUAAGACUUGGUGCCUUCUAUACCCACAUUCCUCUGUGCCUUCAACUGUGGAAAAGGCAGAAAAUAGUCACAACUCAAAAGAAGAAGGGCUUCUAGAGGAAAUGAGCAGAACAAGAUCUGGGAUUCUAGCUUCCCAAACUGAGAAAGAAAACCCCUGCUCUAACGCCAAUGCUGGAGUAACAGAAGAAUCCUCAGAAUAUGUAGAAAAGCUCAGUCAUCUGUCCCAAGGAAGUUUCUCACACGGUGCCACUGACAAGAACAAGGGAUUUGGGAGGAGAAGGAGAAACACACAGAACAUCUGUAAUACAUAGGUAAGAGGGGUCAACCAGGUUAAAAAGAAAAAGGAAUAAUCUGACUUUUUAAGUUUUAUUUUGUUUCUAAUUGACAUAAUUGUACAUAUUUACGGGGUAUAGUGUGACAUUUCAAUAUAUGAAUACAUUAUCUAAUGAUAAAAUAAGAGUAGUUAGGAUAUCCAUCACCUCAAACAGUUGUCAUUUAUUUGUGGUGAGAACAUUCAAAGUCCUCUCUUCUAGCCAUUUUUAAAUAUAUUGUCAACUACAGUCACCCUACUGUGCAACAGAGCACCGGAACUUAUUCCUCCUAUCUAUCCGCAAGUUUGUUCUCAUUGACAAAUCUCUCUCUAAGCCCCCCUACCCCAAAUUCUCACCAGCUUCUGGUAACCACUAUCCCACUCUCUAUUUCUAUGAGAUCAACUGUUUUAGACUCCACAUAGGAGUGAGAUCAUGCAGUAUUUGUCCUUCUGUGCUUAUUUCAUUUAACAUAAUGUCCUCUAGUUAAUCCAUGUUGUCACAGACGACAAGAUUUUAUUCUUUUUUAAUGGUUCACUAGUAUUCCAUUGUGUAUAUAUAACCAUUUUUCAAUCUAUUCAUCCAUUAAAGGACACUUACAUUGAUCUGUAUCUUGGGUAUUGUUAAUAGUACUGAAAUAAACAUGGGAGUGCAGAUAUCUCUUUAACA